AUUACCUGUCAACUAUAUCUCUGUCAAGAACAUUGGAUGAAAGCGUUUACUUCAAGCAUUAUGUGAAAACUAUCACUGAUCAUUAAAUAGUAAUAUUUAUUACGCUAAAUUACAAAGACACACACACACACAAAGAGAGAGAGAGAGAGAGAGUAGAACUUGGUGUGCGUAUGUUUUGGUGCGCGCACAUACAAACGAGCGGGAACACAAAUACGCUGAGGCACGCUUUUCGCGCCGUUUGUUUCUUUCACUGAUGUGACAACACUGAGAUCACAGGAGAUUGAUGAAAGAAAAAAAGGUAAGAAACAGAGAAUUGAAAUAUUUACUGAGGCGCUUGGGUACUAGAGGAGUUUAUUUGAUGUUGAAUUAUUGAUAAGAUCCCUCAGGGACUGCGUUUUAGGGUGGUGGAAACCAUAACAGGAAAAUAUACCAUAAGCAGCAUACACCAUACCCUAGAAAUCAUCGCGAUAGUCCCGCAGUUCUGUUCUUAUCCCGUUGCCAGCUGUGCCAGGAUCAGUUCUUCAGCAUCUGUCUACAUACAACAACACUGUGGUUAGCCCAUAUAAGAAUCAGUGCUACUCUGAAACUGUAGCUUGCUAAGCUACACUGUUAGACAUUUCUGUAAUUUCCACAGUUACUGUAUAUCACCCAGUGUAAUACUGCAAAUUCCCUUUACAGUGAAUAACUGUAAUACCCUUUGCAUCAUGGGAAUUUUCUGUGACGUCAGACCCCACAUACAGAGACUUACUGUAUUUUUUAAAAUUGCUGUAUACUACUGUAACGAUCUCUUUGGCGCCAUUAUACUGAGGUCGUUUUAUUUUCCUAAUUUCUUACAUUUGGAUUGACACAAUUUACCCUACACCGUGUCUACAACACCGCAGCAGCUUGGGACUGACUACUGGAUGUGUUAUAUCGCUUGUAAUGAUUGGAAAAUCCGUUUGUAAUUCGUGUCAGAAACAGUGCCAGCGCCUGGAGUACAUCUGCACGUCAGAAAUAUACCGGGGCAUCGCUUUACUGUCCGCAUCCACUGUAGAUAGUAUAUAUAAUGGGUUCUAUAUUGUUUUUUAUCGAGUCGCGCCGCGCCACUCGCGUCCGAGGAAGACACGGAAGCAGCGGGGCAGCGCCGGGGAUGAACCCGUGAGAGUGGAAGGGCUCCGGAGAACAUCUAUGCUGUGUGUCGAUGCACUUUACGAGAGAAUAAGACCAGCAAGCAAGGCAACUGCAAUGAAGCAUCAAGAAAGACAUGAGCAGGCCAGCCACCCUGAGACUGAUAAUUCAUGAGAAGACAUUUCUGUCAAAGUGGAUGGUGAGCAAAGAUGGUGGCCACGUUUUGGAGCAGCACCUGGGUUUUGCAGAUGGCUAUGUAUUCUUUGGCUGCUUGUCUUUUUUUCCUCAUUAUGUUUCUGUUGCCUAAAGAUUCUUUGUGAGGAUAAAUCCAGAGGACACAACAUAAUGCACUGCAAAACGUCCUGAGACAGGAGAAAUGGUGAAGAUGCACUGUUCCAGCAUUGGAAGUCUGUAUUUUUAA